rnacentral:rRNA from 1 species
AGCCAUGCCGCGUGAGUGAUGAAGGCCUUCGGGUUGUAAAGCUCUUUCGGCGGGGACGAAAACGCUCGGCCUAAUACCUCGGGCGCUUGACUUUACCUACAAAAGAAGCACCGGCUAACUCCGUGCCAGCAGCCGCGGUAAUACGUAGGGUGCGAGCGUUAAUCGGAAUUACUGGGCGUAAAGCGCGCGUAAGCGGCUUGGUAAGUCUGGUGUGAAAUCCCCGGGCUCAACCUGGGAACUGCAUUCGAAACUGCCUGGCUUGAGUAUGGGAGAGGGAAGUGGAAUUUCCGGUGUAGCAGUGAAAUGCGUAAAUAUCGGAAGGAACACCAAUGGCGAAGGCGACUUCCUGGACCAAUACUGACGCUCAGGUGCGAAAGCGGGGGGGAGCAAACAGGAUUAAUACC